CCUACGGGAGGCUGCAGUGGGGAAUAUUGGACAAUGGGGGCAACCCUGAUCCAGCCAUGCCGCGUGUGUGAAGAAGGCCCUCGGGUUGUAAAGCACUUUCAGUGAGGAAGAACGCCUGGUGGUUAAUACCCAUCAGGAAAGACAUCACUCACAGAAGAAGCACCGGCUAACUCCGUGCCAGCAGCCGCGGUAAUACGGAGGGUGCGAGCGUUAAUCGGAAUUACUGGGCGUAAAGCGCGCGUAGGUGGCUUGAUAAGCCGGUUGUGAAAGCCCCGGACUCAACCUGGGAACGGCAUCCGGAACUGUCAAGCUAGAGUGCAGGAGAGGAAGGUAGAAUUCCCGGUGUAGCGGUGAAAUGCGUAGAGAUCGGGAGGAAUACCAGUGGCGAAGGCGGCCUUCUGGACUGACACUGACACUGAGGUGCGAAAGCGUGGGUAGCAAACAGGAUUAGAUACCCUAGUAGUC
rnacentral:rRNA from 1 species